GUGGGGAAUCUUGCGCAAUGGGCGAAAGCCUGACGCAGCGACGCCGCGUGCGGGAAGAAGGCCUUCGGGUUGUAAACCGCUUUCAGGAGGGACGAAGCCACUCGGGUUAAUAGCCCAGAGGGUGACGGUACCUCCAGAAGAAGCCCCGGCUAACUACGUGCCAGCAGCCGCGGUAAUACGUAGGGGGCUAGCGUUGUCCGGAUUUAUUGGGCGUAAAGAGCGUGUAGGCGGCCAGAUAGGUCUGCUGUGAAAACUCGAGGCUCAACCUCGAGCUGUCGGCGGAAACCAUUUGGCUAGAGUCCGGAAGAGGAAAGUGGAAUUCCUGGUGUAGCGGUGAAAUGCGCAGAUAUCAGGAAGAACACCCGUGGCGAAGGCGGCUUUCUGGGACGGUACUGACGCUGAGACGCGAAAGCGUGGGGAGCGAACAGGAUUAGAAACCCUAGUAGUCC
rnacentral:rRNA from 1 species